GACAGAGGGGGCAAGCGUUGCUCGGAUUUACUGGGCGUAAAGGCGCGUAGGCGGCCACCGCAAGUCGACUGUGAAAUCUCCGGGCUUAACCCGGAAAGGUCAGCCGAUACUGCGGGCUAGAGUGCAGAAGGGGCAACUGGAAUUCUCGGUGUAGCGGUGAAAUGCGUAGAUAUCGAGAGGAACACCUGCGGCGAAGGCGGGUUGCUGGGCUGACACGUGACGCUGAGGCGCGAAAGCUAGGGGAGCGAACGGG
rnacentral:rRNA from 1 species